UACGUAGGGUGCAGGCGUUAAUCGGAAUUACUGGGCGUAAAGCGUGCGCAGGCGGUUUCUUAAGUCAGAUGUGAAAGCCCCGGGCUUAACCUGGGAACUGCGUUUGAAACUGGGAGAUUUGAGUGUGGCAGAGGGGGGUGGAAUUCCACGUGUAGCAGUGAAAUGCGUAGAUAUGUGGAGGAACACCGAUGGCGAAGGCAGCCCCCUGGGUUAACACUGACGCUCAUGCACGAAAGCGUGGGGAGCAAACAGG
rnacentral:rRNA from 1 species